rnacentral:rRNA from 1 species
GCCUACGGGGCGCAGCAGUGGGGAAUAUUGCACAAUGGGGGAAACCCUGAUGCAGCGACGCCGCGUGAGCGAAGAAGUAUUUCGGUAUGUAAAGCUCUAUCAGCAGGGAAGAAAAUGACGGUACCUGAGUAAGAAGCUCCGGCUAAAUACGUGCCAGCAGCCGCGGUAAUACGUAUGGAGCAAGCGUUAUCCGGAUUUACUGGGUGUAAAGGGAGCGUAGACGGCAGCGCAAGUCUGAGGUGAAAUGCCGGGGCUUAACCCCGGAACUGCUUUGGAAACUGUGCAGCUAGAGUGCAGGAGAGGUA